AGUUUACAGGGGUUCUGUGCUAUCUGAUGAAGUUCUUGUCUGGGCAACCCCUCUUCUGAAGGAAACUCCAGAAAAACAGGCAAGAAAGGAUUUUUCAAAUGGCUUCUGCAAUUGUUGCACAGCCUGUCUUCUGGUGCUUUACAGAUGAAUGGUGGUCCUGAAAUUGUCCCAAGGAACAUGUCUCCAGGGCUUGGGUUUUAUUGGCAUUGCAGGAUGCCUGAGCACAAGCCCUGCCUUCCCUCCUACUCACUCUCUGUGUUGUCACACUCUCUGGAGUCCCUGAGAGAUGAGAAGCAGGUGGAGGGAUUAUGCAUAGGGAAGACACGGGAUGUGUUCUGUGCUGCAGAACAAGUUUCAAGUUUUUUUUCUGGCAGCUGCCCCAUUAUGGAGUUGUGCCUUCUGGGUCAGAGAUGAAAGGAGCUGGCUGUAACCCUGUGCAACUGAAACCCUUUUUCCGAAGCUGAAGGAAAUGAUGGAAAAUGAGCCAAAAUCAUCGUGUGAAUCAAGAGGCACAGAAGUGCUGCCAGGCAUCGGCUCCCACCAUGGCAGGAACGACUCCUGGGCUGGUGAAUUCCAAAGGAAUGGCUCUGUGGUGGCUGGCAGAGACAGGAACAAGGCAGCAGGGUGGAGAAAUAAGAAUGUGAGAAGAGAAGAGACUGCUGAGACCAGAC